GGCCUCCCCACAGGCCCCUGUGGCCACAGCCUCACCUCUGAGGGGACCAAGGCAGGCAGGCGACUCAGGAAGCCAGAACAAAGUAGACCUGCAGAAAAUCUUCACUCAUGUGGCCGUCCUUCUGCUGAGGCACCCUUUACUUGCCAGCUCUUUACAGCCUGGGAUGGAUUCCUGAUUCUCUUUUGACUCCGUGGCCUCCGAAACCAGCCCCGAGGGGCCGUGAUCCUGUAUCUGUGGAGGUCCCAGGCAUCCCUACCGUUCCUCGUUCGCCUGUGACAAAUAUGGGACUGGCACUUCAGCAGAGGAAAAGCAGCAGCAGGAGUUGAUCAAUUCCUAAGCAACGAAGAUCCUGUUUUCAUGCAAACGUCCUCGGCAUUAAAACAAAAACAAAUUCUUCCCAGGGUGCGUCCUGGAUGCCAAGUCUUCUUGCGAGACACAUUUUGAAGCAAGGUUUUGCGCCUGCGCUAGAGACUGACGGGGGCUGGGAGGAGAGCUGCGUGCCAAGUGUCGUCUUGAUAUGCUCUCAUUUUAAACUCACAGCCACCCCACGAGCUAGCCACAGUCGGCUCUCGGCUUGACAGAUAAGGAAACAGGCAGAGAGAAAUGAGGGAACGGGUCCAGUGUCUAUCGGCUGGUGAUGGCAGCCAGGGCACAUGACCAGAUCUGAUUGAAGCUGUAUUGUUUUGGACACAGACACAGGUAUCCACUGCGACUGUAUUCACCUUACAGAGAUGAGGGGGAUGACCAUGAAUGUUUCAGAUGACUACAGGCAAAAUCUUUUUUCCCCCUUAGUGUACUUUUCCCAUCACGUAAAUAAAAAGUGUGCUUUUCCCCUCAAAUAAAAAGAAAGAAGGAUGC